CCUACGGGAGGCAGCAGUGGGGAAUCUUGCGCAAUGGGCGAAAGCCUGACGCAGCAACGCCGCGUGCGGGAUGACGGCCUUCGGGUUGUAAACCGCUUUCAGCAGGGACGCGGUACCUGCAGAAGAAGCCCCGGCCAACUACGUGCCAGCAGCCGCGGUAACACGUAGGGGGCGAGCGUUGUCCGGAUUUAUUGGGCGUAAAGAGCUCGUAGGCGGCUCGGUAAGUCGGGUGUGAAACCUCCAGGCUCAACCUGGAGACGCCACCUGAUACUGCUGGGCUAGAGUCCGGUAGGGGAGUGUGGAACUCCUGGUGUAGCGGUGAAAUGCGCAGAUAUCAGGAAGAACACCAGCGGCGAAGGCGGCACUCUGGGCCGGACUGACGCUGAGGAGCGAAAGCGUGGGUAGCAAACAGGAUUAGAUACCCUUGUAGUC
rnacentral:rRNA from 1 species